UGCAUCAGGAGAGCUCAGCUGCAGACAGAACGCACCUCGGAGCAGGAGCCACCCUGGGAUUCCUCAGAUGAAAGCCAAUUUCAAUGAACAUUGUGUUUCGAAGCCUGCUUCCUCUUGCUCUGUAAGUGCUGCAGAAGGACCAUCCCACUUGCGUCUGCUGACACAAAAGAAUGCUGUGGCUGGGAGAUCUUAUCACAUCUUCCUGUGCCACAGCAACAGAGCUCCAGUUGUGUCUUGCAGAAUUGCUCAUUGUUUCACAGGACGACUGGCUCCUUUGGGUGGGAUCUGAUGGCAUCUCAUAGAGUUGAAGGUCUCUGAAAAGGCUCCAUUCAGACUUCAGUGGCUGAUGCCCAUCUGCUCCCCAGCUUUCGAGGAUAACAUCUGGAAACAGUUCUGAACAGUAUUACUCCACUGGCGAGGACUGCUGUUUAAUGCAAGGAGCCUAGUCUUUAGAAUCCCUUUCCAGAGAAAUGUAUUUUCCUCCAGUAAAAAAUGAGGCUGAUAGAAUGAUGUGAACUCUAGAUCUGUCUGCUAUAAGGAAAUAGUGACAACCUGUCCCAUAUCACUGCCUGCAUUUUUGUUUCUCUUAGUUACACUCAAUCACAAUGCAUCCUAAUGUUUGCAAUUGGCCUACAAUAAACAGAAUGUUGUUCACAAAGAAUUUAACAUUUUAGAACAAACUAUUAGCUAGAUGCUAGUAGCUCAUGCCUAUAAUUCUAGCUACUCAGGAAACUGGAAUCUAAGGAUUGCUAUUCAAAGCCAGCCUGGUCAAGAAAGCCUGAGACUCUUCCAAUUUGCUAGCAAAAAGCCUGACAUGGAUCUAUGGUUCAGGUGGUAGAGCGUUACCCUUGAGCACAAAAGCUCAGGAACAGUGCCCAGAUCCUGAGUUGGAACCCCAACUCCAUCACACACAGACAGAAAAAGAAAAACAAAUAGAAUCAAACAAAGAAAAAAUAAAAGUAAUGAAAGACAACUGAAGAUGGUGGUGUAACACCUAUAAUCCCAGUACUUGGGAGGUCAAGGCAGGAGGAUUGUAAAUUCAAGACCAGCCUAGGCUACACAGUGGGACCUGCUCAAUUGUCUUCCGCAUUUCACCCAACAAACUAAAUAAAUAAAAAGAGAAAAAAAAAGCAGCUGGCCUAUGUUCCUUGAAGACCUUCCUUCUUGAAGAAUCCAUCAACAUUUUUUUUAACCUCUACAACACUGAUACCAUGGAAUAUGUAUGUUCGUUCUUACCCUGGGGAAAGUACUUAAAGGAACUAUUUCCAGAAACAUGUUAUUUCUCAAUAAAUAAAUGUUUAACAGUAUGAAAAUGUA